rnacentral:tRNA from 1 species
GAACACAUAGCUCAGCCGGUUAGAGCAUUACGUUGACAUCGUAAAGGUCACUGGUUCGAAUCCAGUUGUGUUCA